GCUGGGCAUGGUGGCGGGCGCCUGUAAUCCCAGCUACUUGGGAGGCUGAGGCAGGAGAAUUGCUUGAGCCCAGGAGGCAGAGGUUGCAGUGAGCAGAGAUCGAGCCACUGCACUCCAGCCUGGGCAACAGAGCAAGACUUCGUCUUAA
rnacentral:SRP_RNA from 1 species